rnacentral:rRNA from 1 species
UACGUAGGCGGGAAAUUAAGUCAGUAGUGAAAUCCCACAGCUUAACUGUGGAACUGUUAUUGAUACUGGUUUUCUUGAAUAUAGUUGAGGUAGGCGGAAUGUGUAAUGUAGCGGUGAAAUGCUUAGAUAUUACACAGAGCACCGAUUGCGAAGGCAGCUUACUAAGCUAUGAUUGACGCUGAGGUACGAAAGCGUGGGGAGCGAACAGGAUUAGAUACCCUGGUAGUCC